CAAUAGCGUAUAUUAAAGUUGUUGCAGUUAAAAAGCUCGUAGUUGAAUUUUUGCUUGCCGCCGAUGUCGGAACUUCCGUACGUUCGGCGGCGUGCAUCCUUGGGUGGAACCUGUGUGGCAUUAGGUUGUCGUGCAGGGGAUGCUCAUCGUUUACUGUGAAAAAAUUAGAGUGUUCAAAGCAGGCUUACGCCGUUGAAUAUAUUAGCAUGGAAUAAUAAGAUAGGACCUUGGUACUAUUUUGUUGGUUUGCGCACCAAAGUAAUGAUUAAUAGGGACAGUUGGGGGUAUUCGUAUUCCGUUGUCAGAGGUGAAAUUCUUGGAUUUACGGAAGACGAACUACUGCGAAAGCAUUUACCAAGGAUGUUUUCAUUAA
rnacentral:rRNA from 1 species